GGGUUGUGAGGUUAAGCGACUAAGCGUACACGGUGGAUGCCCUGGCAGUCAGAGGCGAUGAAGGACGUGCUAAUCUGCGAUAAGCGUCGGUAAGGUGAUAUGAACCGUUAUAACCGGCGAUUUCCGAAUGGGGAAACCCAGUGUGUUUCGACACACUAUCAUUAACUGAAUCCAUAGGUUAAUGAGGCGAACCGGGGGAACUGAAACAUCUAAGUACCCCGAGGAAAAGAAAUCAACCGAGAUUCCCCCAGUAGCGGCGAGCGAACGGGGAGCAGCCCAGAGCCUGAAUCAGUGUGUGUGUUAGUGGAAGCGUCUGGAAAGGCGCGCGAUACAGGGUGACAGCCCCGUACACAAAAAUGCACAUGCUGUGAGCUCGAUGAGUAGGGCGGGACACGUGGUAUCCUGUCUGAAUAUGGGGGGACCAUCCUCCAAGGCUAAAUACUCCUGACUGACCGAUAGUGAACCAGUACCGUGAGGGAAAGGCGAAAAGAACCCCGGCGAGGGGAGUGAAAAAGAACCUGAAACCGUGUACGUACAAGCAGUGGGAGCACGCUUAGGCGUGUGACUGCGUACCUUUUGUAUAAUGGGUCAGCGACUUAUAUUCUGUAGCAAGGUUAACCGAAUAGGGGAGCCGAAGGGAAACCGAGUCUUAACUGGGCGUUAAGUUGCAGGGUAUAGACCCGAAACCCGGUGAUCUAGCCAUGGGCAGGUUGAAGGUUGGGUAACACUAACUGGAGGACCGAACCGACUAAUGUUGAAAAAUUAGCGGAUGACUUGUGGCUGGGGGUGAAAGGCCAAUCAAACCGGGAGAUAGCUGGUUCUCCCCGAAAGCUAUUUAGGUAGCGCCUCGUGAAUUCAUCUCCGGGGGUAGAGCACUGUUUCGGCAAGGGGGUCAUCCCGACUUACCAACCCGAUGCAAACUGCGAAUACCGGAGAAUGUUAUCACGGGAGACACACGGCGGGUGCUAACGUCCGUCGUGAAGAGGGAAACAACCCAGACCGCCAGCUAAGGUCCCAAAGUCAUGGUUAAGUGGGAAACGAUGUGGGAAGGCCCAGACAGCCAGGAUGUUGGCUUAGAAGCAGCCAUCAUUUAAAGAAAGCGUAAUAGCUCACUGGUCGAGUCGGCCUGCGCGGAAGAUGUAACGGGGCUAAACCAUGCACCGAAGCUGCGGCAGCGACGCUUAUGCGUUGUUGGGUAGGGGAGCGUUCUGUAAGCCUGCGAAGGUGUGCUGUGAGGCAUGCUGGAGGUAUCAGAAGUGCGAAUGCUGACAUAAGUAACGAUAAAGCGGGUGAAAAGCCCGCUCGCCGGAAGACCAAGGGUUCCUGUCCAACGUUAAUCGGGGCAGGGUGAGUCGACCCCUAAGGCGAGGCCGAAAGGCGUAGUCGAUGGGAAACAGGUUAAUAUUCCUGUACUUGGUGUUACUGCGAAGGGGGGACGGAGAAGGCUAUGUUGGCCGGGCGACGGUUGUCCCGGUUUAAGCGUGUAGGCUGGUUUUCCAGGCAAAUCCGGAAAAUCAAGGCUGAGGCGUGAUGACGAGGCACUACGGUGCUGAAGCAACAAAUGCCCUGCUUCCAGGAAAAGCCUCUAAGCAUCAGGUAACAUCAAAUCGUACCCCAAACCGACACAGGUGGUCAGGUAGAGAAUACCAAGGCGCUUGAGAGAACUCGGGUGAAGGAACUAGGCAAAAUGGUGCCGUAACUUCGGGAGAAGGCACGCUGAUAUGUAGGUGAAGCGACUUGCUCGUGGAGCUGAAAUCAGUCGAAGAUACCAGCUGGCUGCAACUGUUUAUUAAAAACACAGCACUGUGCAAACACGAAAGUGGACGUAUACGGUGUGACGCCUGCCCGGUGCCGGAAGGUUAAUUGAUGGGGUUAGCCGCAAGGCGAAGCUCUUGAUCGAAGCCCCGGUAAACGGCGGCCGUAACUAUAACGGUCCUAAGGUAGCGAAAUUCCUUGUCGGGUAAGUUCCGACCUGCACGAAUGGCGUAAUGAUGGCCAGGCUGUCUCCACCCGAGACUCAGUGAAAUUGAACUCGCUGUGAAGAUGCAGUGUACCCGCGGCAAGACGGAAAGACCCCGUGAACCUUUACUAUAGCUUGACACUGAACAUUGAGCCUUGAUGUGUAGGAUAGGUGGGAGGCUUUGAAGUGUGGACGCCAGUCUGCAUGGAGCCGACCUUGAAAUACCACCCUUUAAUGUUUGAUGUUCUAACGUUGACCCGUAAUCCGGGUUGCGGACAGUGUCUGGUGGGUAGUUUGACUGGGGCGGUCUCCUCCUAAAGAGUAACGGAGGAGCACGAAGGUUGGCUAAUCCUGGUCGGACAUCAGGAGGUUAGUGCAAUGGCAUAAGCCAGCUUGACUGCGAGCGUGACGGCGCGAGCAGGUGCGAAAGCAGGUCAUAGUGAUCCGGUGGUUCUGAAUGGAAGGGCCAUCGCUCAACGGAUAAAAGGUACUCCGGGGAUAACAGGCUGAUACCGCCCAAGAGUUCAUAUCGACGGCGGUGUUUGGCACCUCGAUGUCGGCUCAUCACAUCCUGGGGCUGAAGUAGGUCCCAAGGGUAUGGCUGUUCGCCAUUUAAAGUGGUACGCGAGCUGGGUUUAGAACGUCGUGAGACAGUUCGGUCCCUAUCUGCCGUGGGCGCUGGAGAACUGAGGGGGGCUGCUCCUAGUACGAGAGGACCGGAGUGGACGCAUCACUGGUGUUCGGGUUGUCAUGCCAAUGGCACUGCCCGGUAGCUAAAUGCGGAAGAGAUAAGUGCUGAAAGCAUCUAAGCACGAAACUUGCCCCGAGAUGAGUUCUCCCUGACCCUUUAAGGGUCCUGAAGGAACGUUGAAGACGACGACGUUGAUAGGCCGGGUGUGUAAGCGCAGCGAUGCGUUGAGCUAACCGGUACUAAUGAACCGUGAGGCUUAACCUUACAACGCCGAAG
rnacentral:rRNA from 1 species